UGAGUUAAUGGCUAAAGAUUUUUCCAUAGAAAAUUUAAAUUUUAUAUAAAUUUCUAUUUUUAGAUUCAAAAUUUGUGAGACUCCAGAUAGUCCUAUAUAUGAGAUGUAAUAUGGCUAAAACUCUUAACACAGCUAUAACAUUUUGGUGGUGGCUAAGUUCAGCGUGCAAGUAAUAUAGUAGUCCUAGAAUGGGUGAUCCUCUAGGAAGUAAGACGUCACAGUUGGUAUUAGAGUCAAUUAUCAGUCGAAAAUAUGACAUAAAUCUUGGCUGAGCCAGGUUUAUACAGUGGAGACAGCGAGGCUUUUAUUGCUGAUGACUAUUGUGGAUAGAGUGCGGCUCCCCUCACAAGGUUGAUUAAGAUUAGCGAAACGAAUCUCACAUCGUAUGGUACUUAUGAGUCGGAGCCUGACAAGAACGUCAGGAAUUAAAAAAGGGAGAAUAUAAGAUCCUAGGUAGUCAUAUAU
rnacentral:lncRNA from 1 species